rnacentral:rRNA from 1 species
GACGAACGCUGGCGGCGUGCUUAACACAUGCAAGUCGAGCGGAGCGGCGCACGGGUGAGUAACGCGUGAGUAACUGCCCCCCUCCCUGGGAUAACAGUUGGAAACGGCUGCUAAUACCGGAUAGUGGGGGAUGACUCGCGUCCUAUCAGCUUGUUGGUGGGGUAGUGACCUACAAAGGCGACGACGGGUAGCCGGCCUGAGAGGGCGCCCGGCGACAGUGGGCUGAGAGACGGGCCAAACGCCUACGGGAGGCAGCAGGGGGGAAUAAUGCAGAGUGGGGGAAACCCUGAUGCAGCAACGCCGCGUGCGGGAUGACGGCCUUCGGGUUGUAAACCGCUUUCAGCCAUGACGCGGUAUUUGCAGAAGAAGCACCGGCUAACUACGUGCCAGCAGCCGCGGUAAUUC